AUUGAACGCUGGCGGCAGGCCUAACACAUGCAAAUCGAGCGGAUGAAGGGAGCUUGCUCCUGGAUUCAGCGGCGGACGGGUGAGUAAUGCCUAGGAAUCUGCCUGGUAGUGGGGGAUAACGUCCGGAAACGGGCGCUAAUACCGCAUACGUCCUGAGGGAGAAAGUGGGGGAUCUUCGGACCUCACGCUAUCAGAUGAGCCUAGGUCGGAUUAGCUAGUUGGUGGGGUAAAGGCCUACCAAGGCGACGAUCCGUAACUGGUCUGAGAGGAUGAUCAGUCACACUGGAACUGAGACACGGUCCAGACUCCUACGGGAGGCAGCAGUGGGGAAUAUUGGACAAUGGGCGAAAGCCUGAUCCAGCCAUGCCGCGUGUGUGAAGAAGGUCUUCGGAUUGUAAAGCACUUUAAGUUGGGAGGAAGGGCAGUAAGUUAAUACCUUGCUGUUUUGACGUUACCAACAGAAUAAGCACCGGCUAACUUCGUG
rnacentral:rRNA from 1 species